rnacentral:tRNA from 1 species
UGGGCUGUCGCCAAGCGGUUAAGGCAUGGGACUUUGACUCCCACAUUCGCGCGUUCAAAUCGCACCAGCCCAGCCA